rnacentral:misc_RNA from 1 species
AACCUAGCACACCUGCGGUGUGUACCUGCGGAAGGAUCAUUACCUAGAGUUGUAGGCUUUGCCUGCUAUCUCUUACCCAUGUCUUUUGAGUACCUUACGUUUCCUCGGUGGGUUCGCCCGCCGGUUGGACAAAACUUAAACCCUUUGUAGUUGCAAUCAGCGUCUGAAAAAACUUAAUAGUUACAACUUUUAACAAUGGAUCU